rnacentral:rRNA from 1 species
GACGAAGGGGGCUAGCGUUGUUCGGAAUUACUGGGCGUAAAGCGAGUGUAGGUGGUUGUCGUAGUCAGGCGUGAAAGCCUUGAGCUCAACUCAAGAAAUGCGCUUGAUACUGGGCAGCUAGAGGACCGGAGAGGAUAGUGGAAUUCCCAGUGUAGUGGUGAAAUACGUAGAGAUUGGGAAGAACACCAGUGGCGAAAGGCGGCUAUCUGGACGGUACUGACGCUGAGAG